rnacentral:rRNA from 1 species
UACGGGGGGGGCAAGCGUUGUUCGGAAUUACUGGGCGUAAAGGGCUCGUAGGUGGCCAACUAAGUCAGACGUGAAAUCCCCAGGCUUAACCUGGGAACUGCGUCUGAUACUGGAUGGCUUGAAUUCGGGAGAGGGAUGCAGAAUUCCAGGUGUAGCGGUGAAAUGCGUAGAUAUCUGGAGGAAUACCGGUGGCGAAGGCAGCUCGCUGGGACGUAACUGACGCUGAGACGCGAAAGCGUGGGGAGCAAACAGG